rnacentral:tRNA from 1 species
GCUUCCGUGGCUCAGUUGGUUAGAGCGCCAGUCUCAUAUCUUAUGUAUGAUCCCAGAUUUGGGAGUUAUCUGGAGGUCACCAGUUCGACCCUGGUCGGGAGCA